AGAAAAGGGGAGAGGUGGGACGGGACUGCUGGGACAAGGAUUGCUUGGAGCCUGCAGCUCAGGAGUGCAGUGGGAGAAAGGUGCCUGCCAGGAGGAGGAAAACAGGUGGAAGGAAAACCUCAGAAAUGACCCAUUGCAGUGCUGUAGAGCCAAACCCAGCAGCUCCCCUGAGAGCUCUCCCAGCAGCUCAGGAGCCCACCCAAGGGUGCCCAGGGAUGGUGGCAGUGUGGGGCACAGGGGCUGUGAGGAGCCAGCCAUGCUGACCCGUGACAAACAGAUGGAAAUAGAGCGUGAUGUAGCGUAAUGCCAGUGGGACCUGGCAAACAAGCUGCUAAUGGGCUCCCCACUGCCACCACAGCAGCACCACAGCUGCCUGCAGCUCUAAUUUGCCAUUAAAUGUAGAGGGGAACCAGCACCUGCACAGAAUCAAACCCCAGGGCAGAUCCAGCAAGGUGGCCCUGCUUGGGGCAGCACAGCAGGAGCCAGCACACACCCUGACCACUCUGGACAUUCAGGUGGCACCGUGGGCACUUGUCCCUUGCCGGGCACCCUGCAGGCAGCUCGGGCUGCAGCCGCCCCUUUAUGCAGGCAGGCGUGCUUGUAGGAAAGAGCCGUGCCAGUUCCACAAAUGACAACACUUGUGUAAUAGGUUUAGUCCUCCAGGAGCUGCAGGGAAAGCAAGGACACACAGCAGUGUGCUGCUUGGAGUGCCUAAAUGCUGGGUUUUUUCAGCAGUGAGGCCAUGGGCACCUGCUCCUCCUGCACGUCAGGGGUCUGACCUGUAGGAGUGUUGGCUCAGUGUCCCUGUGGGCUGGGUUUGGAGGUGCCCAGCCAGUUUCUAACAUGGGCUCAGUUUCCCUGUGGGCUGGCUUUGGAGGUGCCCAGCCAGCUGCUGUCCUGCCUGCUUUGGGGGCAGACAGCCAGGUGGGUUUGCACACACCAGCAUCUGGCUCCAGCUAAGCUGCUGCCCUGGCUGUGUGACACCUGGGGAAGCUGCUCCCCUUCCCCAGGACAUGGGCUCCAGCAUCCCACUGCCCAGGGCACAGUGGCUCCCAUCUGGGCACAGAAUUCCUGCCUUGAAUGCCAAGAAGGCACCCACACCAAGCCCACGCUCCCUCCACAAACCCCACAGUGCUUAUCCCCUCCCCAAGAGGACAAGAAAGCCGUGGGGCCCUGGCCAGCCCUGCCCUCCCCGCUGGGAGCAAGGUUGCGCAGUGGCACCGAGGACAAUGGGGGAUUGUCCUGGCACUGCCACCCCAGUGGCUGCCCCACGCCAAGAGCAAACAGGGAACAAAGGCAGCGCUAUAGGGGAGUGCUGGGACCCCUCCCUCUUGUUUGCCUUGGACACAGCACAUCCAGGGGGGGCCUCCUUCAUCCUGGGAGUGCUGCUCCCAACCUCGCUGGGACCCAGGGUCUGGCCCCUUGCUGGGCCAAACUUUCCUUUCCUGGUUUGAUCUUUGGCCACCUGGGAGAUGGCACAGAGGUGCCAGCUCUGAGGCAGUGAGCAGCUCCAUUCCCAGGGGACUGAGAGCCCUGGGAUGCUACAGGGCCCUGGCACAGCCCCUCUGCAGGGGGAAAGCCUGGGGAGGGAAAGGAGGGGAGAAAGAGCCCUUGUACCACACAAUCCUGAGCCUUGUGCCACACAAUCCUGAGCCUUGUGCCCAGGCUCCGCUGCUGCCAGCGCCAAACAACGUGCUGCAGACAGGAGGAGGAGCAGGGGGCCAGCAGAACAAGGCACCCCUGGGAACAGAGCAGCCCUAAAACCCCAGGGCUACCCCGAAAUUCCAGGUUUGCUGACUCCCAUUUCUGAACACUCAGGAGGGAAGUGGGAAUUUUACCUCACUGGGCACAAGCAGGUGGAUGACAAAAUGUGAUGGAAACCCCUUGGCCCUGUGAUGAGUGGCAGUGGGGAUCACCCACCAGCUCCUGGCAGCGCUCCAUGGAUGCUCCAGAGCAGGACUGCAGGACAGGGAGAAGGGAGAAAUCCCCCCUUUGGAUUUCUAAGGCUUUCUAAGGGAGAAGAAAAUGUGCAGGGAAGUGUUUGGAGCUGCCUUUGCCAUGGCAGCGUGGAGGGUGCCCUGCCCCAGGCAGCUGGGUGGGCACCCAGAGCCCACCCCAGGCACUGCCCCUGCCUGCCCUGGGAGCAGAGUCUGGGGGCACGGGGGUGAUGGAAAACCCUUUCUGCAUCCCUCUCCUUUUGUGGAAAAUGCCUGUUUUAUGGUUGGCUUUUCACAAAUAUCCAAAUGAAUAUUAUAUGUGUUGUGUUAGAAAGUAAUGCUGUAUUAAUUCUCUUGA